CCACCCACACUCAUAGGGAAGAGUUUAUGCAAGGGCAUGAAUUCCAAGAGGGUGGGAUCUGGGGGGCUACCCAUUGAGCAUCUGCCACACAGUCAACAAAGCAGCCUAUAACACUGGUAACACCAUCCCCAUUACACAGGAAAGGCGACUGAGUUUUAUCAACACUAAGGACAUGGUCCAAGGUCACCCAAGUAGAAAGAGACAGGUCUAGGACUUGAACCCUGGUCUGUUUGCUUCUACAACCUGAGCUCUUUACCACAGGACAAUGUCAUGAAAGGAAAACCAGGCCCGGCUGAGAUAAGGCAUUGAUCCCCUCCCAGAGGAGGAAGAAGCCGGCAGGAGCCCUGCAGUUCUCUCUUCGUGGAACAAGAUGGAUGGUUUAUUAGUGAGCCCUUAAUUGUGUGGUUUGUAACUUGGGGAAGUUUAAAGAGAAAAGAAAAGAAGUCUGAACUAG